AUUGAACGCUGGCGGCAGGCCUAACACAUGCAAGUCGAACGGUAACAGGAAGAAGCUUGCUUCUUUGCUGACGAGUGGCGGACGGGUGAGUAAUGUCUGGGAAACUGCCUGAUGGAGGGGGAUAACUACUGGAAACGGCAGCUAAUACCGCAUAACGUCGCAAGAUCAAAGAGGGGGACCUUCGGGCCUCUUGCCAUCGGAUGUGCCCAGAUGGGAUUAGCUAGUAGGUGGGGUAACGGCUCACCUAGGCGACGAUCCCUAGCUGGUCUGAGAGGAUGACCAGCCACACUGGAACUGAGACACGGUCCAGACUCCUACGGGAGGCAGCAGUGGGGAAUAUUGCACAAUGGGCGCAAGCCUGAUGCGGCCAUGCCGCGUGUAUGAAGAAGGCCUUCGGGUUGUAAAGUACUUUCAGCGGGGAGGAAGGGAGUAAAGUUAAUACCUUUGCUCAUUGACGUUACCCGCAGAAGAAGCACCGGCUAACUCCGU
rnacentral:rRNA from 1 species